AGUAAGCCGGACAGCCGCGGGGGAACGCCGAAAGGCGUCCCGUGAGGAAAGUCCGGGCUCCCAGGGCAAGGAUAACGGGUAACGCCCGCCGAAGGCGACUUCAGGACAAGUGCAACAGAGAAAUACCGCCGGCGCACGCCGGUAAGGGUGGAAAGGCGAGGUAAGAGCUCACCCGGUCACCGGAGACGCGUGACCGCUGUAAACUCUAUCCGGAGCAACACCGUGGGAGAACAUAUGGCCUGCCCGGCCGUUCUCAGGAGGUGGCUGGAUCCCGCCGGCAACAGCGGGACUAGAUAGAUGGCUGUCGAUUACAGAACCCGGCUUACAGGCUUACUCA
rnacentral:RNase_P_RNA from 1 species